AUUGAACGCUGGCGGCAGGCCUAACACAUGCAAGUCGAGCGGCAGCGGAAAGUAGCUUGCUACUUUGCCGGCGAGCGGCGGACGGGUGAGUAAUGUCUGGGGAUCUGCCUGAUGGAGGGGGAUAACUACUGGAAACGGUAGCUAAUACCGCAUAACGUCGCAAGACCAAAGUGGGGGACCUUCGGGCCUCACGCCAUCGGAUGAACCAAGAUGGGAUUAGCUAGUAGGUGGGGUAAUGGCUCACAUAGGGGACGAUCCCUAGCUGGUCUGAGAGAAAGGCCAGCCACACUGGGACUGAGACACGGCCCAGACUCCUACGGGAGGCAGCAGUGGGGAAUAUUGCAAAAGGGGCGAGAGCCUGAUGCAGCCAUGCCGCGUGUGUGAAGAAGGCCUUCGGGUUGUAAAGCACUUUCGGCGAGGAGGAAGGGUGGUGUGUUAAUAGCACACGACAUUGCCGUUACUCGCAGAAGAAGCACCGGCUAACUCCGUGCCAGCCGCCGCGGUAA
rnacentral:rRNA from 1 species